GGAAGAGCGGUGAUGAUUCUAUGUGGACUAGAGUUUCUGAUUCUGCUACUUCGGCAGUAUCUGCAGACAAACCCUUGGCUGUCUGAGCUCUUAG
rfam:Brachypodium distachyon strain Bd21 chromosome 1, whole genome shotgun sequence.